rnacentral:rRNA from 1 species
GUGAGGAAUAUUGCGCAAUGGAGGCAACUCUGACGCAGCCAUGCCGCGUGCAGGAAGAAGGCGCUACGCGUUGUAAACUGCUUUUAACCGGGAAGAAACCCCAGGACGUGUCCUGGGUUGACGGUACCGGAGGAAUAAGCACCGGCUAACUUCGUGCCAGCAGCCGCGGUAAUACGAAGGGUGCAAGCGUUAUCCGGAUUCAUUGGGUUUAAAGGGUGCGUAGGCGGAGCGUUAAGUCAGUGGUGAAAUCCUGCAGCUUAACUGUAGACUUGCCAUUGGUACUGGCGCUCUUGAGUGCGCUUGAAGUGGGCGGAAUGUGCCGUGUAGCGGUGAAAUGCUUAGAUAUGGCACAGAACACCAAUUGCGAAGGCAGCUCACUAAGGCGAUACUGACGCUGAGGCACGAAAGCGUGGGGAUCGAACAGGAUUAGAAACCCGAGUAGUCC